UGUCAGAAAUAAGCUAUGUAGUACUAUGCCUUCUUGCCAGCAGUUUGCUAGGAGAAAUGUUUGCUUGAAGUUUCAAAUUCAUUCUCUACCAAAAUCCGUAUUUCAGGAUUUGCAUUUAAAAACUGAUUAUCAUGCCUUGCAUGAGAUUCGGAGAUGCCACAGUUUGAUAUUAGAUAAGGAUGUCAUGCUCAAAUUGCAAUGUCUAAAAUAAAUUUACAAUUUUAAUCUUCCCUGCUAAACUGUGGAAUCAAGGUAACUCAGUGAAUUUUGGCAUUUAUGACAACUUUGGCUUAUGAUCUUCUAGAGGGACAGACACUGUAAUCCUGAGCUAACUACAGUUAGUAAGUUGUGUAGGAUACUAAUGCAGAUUUUGGUGCUUAACAUAAUACAGCCUUUUUAAAACAGUGGAUCUUUCUAUAUAUCAAUUGUUCUGAGCCAGUUUGAUCUACAGAAGGGCUCCAGAGGCUUUCUGAAGUUAUUUCUAUAUAUUUAUAAUACAGAAAUAUGUUUUAGAAAACAUCUUAAUACUUUUAAGAUUACACUGCCCUGUGGAUUAUAAGCUAUUUCUUAAUGUAUAUAUAUUUUAUAUAUAUAAGAAUGUUGCUGGACCCUCUCUGUCUGGGAGGAUGUGCAGGGUGGUGCAGAGAAGGGCAUGUUUGCCUUAUAUAUGGACAUAAGGAAGGGCCAGAAAAAUGUAAACUUGAACACAGAAAAUAAUUCCUGAUUAGGCAAUAUGGACGCGGCAAGAAUUAACACUUUUAAAAACCCUUAUUUUAAAGAAAUUUCAAAUUUAUGGGAGGAUUGCAAGAAUAUAACAAAUAACUUCUAUAGAUCUCCUCUUCCUCAAGUUUACUUAACAUUUUACCACGUUUACCCUCCCUCUCCCUCCCUCCAUCCCUCCCUCUCCCGCUGGAAUUUCCAUAUCACAAAGUAAUCUGAACUAUUGUUUUUCCUGGGUAAUGGAUUACAAACAUCAUACCCUGUAACCUCUAAAUAUUUCCAUGUAUGUAGCCGUAAGAGCAGAUAUUCUCUUACAUCACUUGAUACAAUAAUCAAAUUUAGGGUUUUCAGUAGUUUAGGAAUUGGCUAAUACUAUUGUCUAAUAUACAAUCCAUAUUAAAAUAUUGUCAAAUGUCCUAAUAAUGUCCUUUCUAGCAUUUUUUUUUUCUGGAGCCAAUCAAGGAUUACAUGUUGCAUUUACUUGUCAUGUCUCCUUAUCUAGUCUCUUUUAAUCCAGAACAAUUACCUCGCAGAAAGAUUUGAAAAUAAUGACAUGCGUAAAUUCGAGGACAUUCAAUUUCAACAUGAUAAAAAUCUUUUUAAAGACAUGCAAUUUCUCUAAUUAAAGCCUUAAUUACGGUAAAAAUUUAUCUUAGUAGAUCAGGCCGGAUGCUGUAGCAGUGCUGCUUGAAAAUGCAGAUGAUUCCGAAGAAAGCUCAUCUACUAAAAUCCCCUGGACCCAGAUGGCAAAAAACGGUGACAAUUUUCUUGAUACAUUGAGAGUUAGAUUUAAAUGACAAGAAAUAAUAAUAAAAAAAGGAGUAAACUUUGACAAGAUGUACUUUUCCCUGCACAGAGUCCAUUAUAAUUCUACACAAAUCUUGUAUAUUGUAGAUUUUGGGGAGUGGGGAGCAUUAUAUAGAAGAAAAGGAAUGGGAGAAAGGAGGGAGAGAUCCUGUUGGUUUCCGAUUGACACUAAUAACUCCUUGAAUUAAGGUCUCAAAAAGAACUUGAGGCACAGUGAUAAAGGAAGCCAGCCCGUCUUUCAAGGACCUGCUUAGGGGAGGGGGAGAGACAAACCUGAACACGAGAGCUGUGAGCGCAGUGGGCAUACCCCACACAGAGUGGUCACGGGGUCUGCGUGCAGAGAGGGGCAACUUUUGUGGGAAUUUGACCCUUUACUUAGGAUUUGGAAGAGGGGCACAGCUUGUAGUACGUACAGGAGCAGUGAGGAGCAUUUCAGGGGAGGGAAAAGCAUGAUGAAGAAGACAGAGGUACGGAAUAACAUGUUGCAUCAUGAUCUGGUAAGUGAUUCCUUAUAGCCUGAGUGGGGGAAAGGUGUGUAGAAGCCGGGGGUGGGACGGAGGAGAGGCUGGAAAAAAAUGUGUGAUCACCAGAGGGCUCUUUUUGUUUUAAGAUUUUAUUUAUUUAUUCAUGAGAGACACAGAGAGAGAGAGGCAGAGACACAGGCAGAGGGAGAAGCAGGCUCCAUGCAGGGAGCCCCAUGCGGAACUCGAUCCCAGGACCCUGGGCCAAAGGCAGAUGCUCAACCACUGAGCCACCCAGGCGCCCCAGCAAAAGGUUUUUUUCAGAGAUUUUAUAUUAGAAAGUCCUUCUGGUCUCAGUGUGGAGGAUGAAAUGGAAUGUGACGGGCAGGAAGGUAACUCACAGAUUAUUUGUAGUCCAGGUGAGAGGUUGUAAAUUCGUAAAGAAUGCAACAAGAAAUACAGAGGAAAGAGAGCAAACAAGUACAGUAAAUACACAGAAGUUAAACUGGUAGGUUUUGUUUGGGUCAUAGUAAAAACCUCCAAGAAUGACAGACAAAAUGAAAUGAGAUUAUUUAUUUAUUUUUAAGUAUUUUAUUUAUUUAUUUACUUAUUUUGAUUUUAUUUAUUUACUCAUGAGAGACACACAGAGAGGCCGAGGGAGAAGCAGGCUCCAUGCAGGGACCCCACGUGGACCUCGAUCCCGGGACCCCGGGGUCACGCCCCAGGCCCAGGGUGGCGCUAGACCGCUGGGCCACCCGGGCCGCCCCGAUGAGAUUACUUAAAUAUAAGUACCUUGUAAGCUGUAAAGCUCUAUAUGAUUUUCAGCUGUUAUCCGCGUUCAAGAUUGUAUAAUCAAUGACUUUAAACACACAAUCAAUAUGUCGACCUACAAAGUCUAACUAUUGUCUGUUCUUGAAGUUUGCAAGGCUUCAAACUGCCUUUUACAUACAACCUUCCAGUCGUUCAGAGACCGUCCCUAGCACCCUCACACACUUGUGAGAUCACAAGCCACCGUGACACGUGGUUUCCAUAAAGCUCAAGCUUGUCAUGUAUCUACAACAUCCGGCAGAUGGACCCGACUUCAACAUUUUACCAGAAAUUCGGUGUCAACACGCCCGCAUGCACACACACACAAACUGGAUCAAACCACAUGAGCUGUUGAGGCAACAGAGUCAUAGAUUUUUAUAGAGUUUUAUCAAUAAGAGUAAAGUGUAUAAGAAUUAGAGCUGUGGUUCCAAAUCACCUCGCAGGGUGUUCGUUUUUGAGCCGAGGCACAAGUGACUGAGAGGGGUCGACCCCAUUUUCAAGUCAUAACCAUGCUUUUCGUAGAGCCAGCGACAGCCUUCGGUGGUCGAGGUGCUAUGGGCUUUGAGAGAAGACCAUCCCCCAUGCUCCCUGGGUCUUGGACUCCUCUACUGUUGGGGAAAUCCAGCCAUGCCUGGCAUGAGCUCAAAAAUAUUCAGAGAUCAUGCUCUUAUAUUCCACAUUUUGGGGCCAUUUAUCCAUUGACAUUAGGCCUGCCACAUCUGUUCAUGCAUUUAAAUGAAAGUUAAAGACCUUCUUUUUUGAUCAAGUUUUAGUGUUUUCAUAAUUUAUAUGCACCUCACUAUUCUAGAAGAGUUUGCUCAGAGUCGUUUUCUCUGUUUUAUCUGUCAUUGGUAUUUUUAUGCCUUUUAUUCCACAGCCUUUAAGAUGUGAUGUGAAUAAAAACAGCUUUCUAAAUAAA